rnacentral:rRNA from 1 species
CCUACGGGAGGCAGCAGUGGGGAAUUUUGGACAAUGGACGAAAGUCUGAUCCAGCAAUGCCGCGUGCAGGACGAAGGCCUUCGGGUUGUAAACUGCUUUUGUACGGAACGAAAAGGUCUGCCUUAAUACGGUGGGCUCAUGACGGUACCGUAAGAAUAAGCACCGGCUAACUACGUGCCAGCAGCCGCGGUAAUACGUAGGGUGCAAGCGUUAAUCGGAAUUACUGGGCGUAAAGCGUGCGCAGGCGGUUAUAUAAGACAGAUGUGAAAUCCCCGGGCUCAACCUGGGACCUGCAUUUGUGACUGUAUAGCUAGAGUACGGUAGAGGGGGAUGGAAUUCCGCGUGUAGCAGUGAAAUGCGUAGAUAUGCGGAGGAACACCGAUGGCGAAGGCAAUCCCCUGGACCUGUACUGACGCUCAUGCACGAAAGCGUGGGGAGCAAACAGGAUUAGAUACCCUGGUAGUCCACGCCCUAAACGAUGUCAACUGGUUGUUGGGUCUUCACUGACUCAGUAACGAAGCUAACGCGUGAAGUUGACCGCCUGGGGAGUACGGCCGCAAGGUUGAAACUUAAAUGAAAUUGACGG